rnacentral:lncRNA from 1 species
UUGAAAUUCAAAUGAUUAUUGAUUAAAUUCUGGCUACGCAUGAUGAUUAUCAAUGACAUCUUCACCCUUGGCCUUUCUUGCAGCUGCCCUUAUUUUACGCUGCUCCUCCUUGUAAAUUCGAUUUCUCCGCUGGAACUGCAGCAAGCAUGCAGAAUAACCACAAAAUGAGUCAAUCCAACAUGAAUAAUGGAAACCAAGAUGCCAAGGGAUUGUAUACGGAUAGAUAUGAACCACAUCACUAACUAUUUGUAAGUGAAACAGUCCUGCUAUUUGAGAGAAUCCACAGGCCAAAAAACUUAAAUCAUCUAGACACAGCCAUGAGUGAAGUGCAAUAAUGACAUGCAUUUUGAAUAGGCCUGUUGGAUUUAAUUUUAUUUCUGAAUGAUACAGGUGCAGGAAAUUACAUCAAUUUCCCAAACAUGUCAAACACAUAAUAAUGUUCAUGUAGAACUCAAAAGAGUUGAUAACAAGCCUUUUCAGAAAGGCAAUUUAUUUUAAACCAACCAUUGCAUCUGAUGAUCUUGAAGAUUAAGAAGAAGCCAUGGAAACAUGUACAGUUUUUAAUUUUGACUUAGAACUCCAGGAUUUCACAAACCUUUCCUAAAGACACCCCUAAGCUACAUUGGAUCUUUCAUACUGAAUUUCGAUCAAACGGUCAUUUCAUAUAAUGUUCAUGGCUAAUAGUCAUUAAAGUGUACUGUGCAGCAUACAGUUACCAAGGAAUUGAUCCAAUCAUCAAACCAACUACCCUUAAAGUGAUUCAUAUAGUCAUAGAAGCUACACAGCCAGACUAAAACAAGGAAAGAACUUGCUCAAUCUCAAUUUCUGAUAUUUGCAGAUUGGUAGAAGCUAACGAGAGUAAUGUUAAUGAUAUCAAAAAGGAAGGAGAAGAGAAAAGACGAUAAACAGACUUGAGAUUAAAGGGUCAUCACUAGAAGAUUGGGCGUGCACACUUAAUGCAAAAGAACGUCAGGCCAACUAGCAUGAUUGCAUCUAAAAUAGCCCCCCUAGAAGCUUGUUAUAGCAGGAGGUCCGACACUGAGUAAUGACCCUAUUCUAUGCUAGCUGGAGGAGUACCAAUAACAGUUGACAAGCUAAUGAUGCAGCAACAAUGACAACUCUAAUUUGCAUCAGGGUUGGCAGUUAUCACCAUGGUUGAGUAGUUUAACUGGCAUCUAAGUACAAAAAGAUAGGGGUAUGAACAUGUAUUUCAGUUCCUGGUAUGGUACAACUGUUCACCAAUUUCGGAUGGUCAAACAUAAUUUGCACUCUCAGCAGCAUAAGCAACGGACCGGGGGAAGAACCAAUGUAUUGUUCUCUUUCACCUUCAAUAUGAAAAUAUGGAUAAUUUCCAGCCCCACAAACACUAGCCAUUUUCACAGAAAGAACCCACAAAGAUACAUGACAAUAAAAAAAUUCAAAUUUUUUAUCUAAUCAUCACAUAGCGUACAAAAAAAGUGCUAUCAAUCCAAAUUCAACUGCGUAACAAUGAGUAAAACUAAAAUGUAAAAAGAGAUUUAGGGUUUUGAAGCACAAUAAGUGGCAACAUACAUACAUACAGCAUUCGGCAAUCUUUUGAAUCAAAUAUGAAACUUUUAUAAUAAUAAAUUAUGUAAAUCGGCUAAUACAGAGAAAGAAAGAGAGAGAGAGAGGGAGGGAGGGAGGGACCUCUUUGGAGUGGUGGAGGCACUCGAGGUAAUCCUCACGAAGGAGAGAGCAGUCCUUGGGCUCUCUGCAGCGCGACAUGCAUUCGCUGAAGUCAAUCCAGAAAUCGUAACACCUCCCCUUGUUGCCGUUGAUUCCCCAUCCC